rnacentral:rRNA from 1 species
AGAGUUUGAUCCUGGCUCAGGAUGAACGCUAGCGACAGGCUUAACACAUGCAAGUCGAGGGGCAGCGGGGAGGUAGCAAUACUUCCGCCGGCGACCGGCGCACGGGUGAGUAACACGUAUGGAACCUGCCCGUAGCAGGGGGAUAAGCGGAAGAAAUUCCGUCUAAUACCGCGUAAUAACUCCGAGGGGCAUCCCUUGGGGUUUAAAGGGUAACACCGGCUACGGAUGGCCAUGCGGCGCAUUAGCUAGUUGGCGGGGCAACGGCCCACCAAGGCGACGAUGCGUAGGGGUUCUGAGAGGAAGGUCCCCCACACUGGUACUGAGACACGGACCAGACUCCUACGGGAGGCAGCAGUGAGGAAUAUUGGUCAAUGGGCGCGAGCCUGAACCAGCCAAGUCGCGUGAGGGAAGACGGUCCUAUGGAUUGUAAACCUCUUUUGUCGGGGAGCAAAAGACGCCACGCGUGGCGUUCCGAGAGUACCCGAAGAAAAAGCAUCGGCUAACUCCGUGCCAGCAGCCGCGGUAAUACGGAGGAUGCGAGCGUUAUCCGGAUUUAUUGGGUUUAAAGGGUGCGCAGGCGGAAGAUCAAGUCAGCGGUAAAAUUGAGAGGCUCAACCUCUUCGAGCCGUUGAAACUGGUUUUCUUGAGUGAGCGAGAAGUAUGCGGAAUGCGUGGUGUAGCGGUGAAAUGCAUAGAUAUCACGCAGAACUCCGAUUGCGAAGGCAGCAUACCGGCGCUCAACUGACGCUCAUGCACGAAAGUGUGGGUAUCGAACAGGAUUAGAUACCCUGGUAGUCCACACAGUAAACGAUGAAUACUAAUUGUUCGGGGAGAAUGAUCCCUGAGUGAUACAGCGAAAGCGUUAAGUAUUCCACCUGGGGAGUACGCCGGCAACGGUGAAACUCAAAGGAAUUGACGGGGGCCCGCACAAGCGGAGGAACAUGUGGUUUAAUUCGAUGAUACGCGAGGAACCUUACCCGGGCUCAAACGACACAGGAAUACUUUUGAAAGGAGGUAGCUCUACGGAGCCUGUGUCGAGGUGCUGCAUGGUUGUCGUCAGCUCGUGCCGUGAGGUGUCGGCUUAAGUGCCAUAACGAGCGCAACCCCCAUCGCCAGUUACCAGCAAGUCAAGUUGGGGACUCUGGCGAGACUGCCGGCGCAAGCUGUGAGGAAGGCGGGGAUGACGUCAAAUCAGCACGGCCCUUACGUCCGGGGCGACACACGUGUUACAAUGGCAGGUACAGAGAGAAGCAAUGCGGCGACGCAAAGCGGAACUUGAAAGCCUGUCUCAGUUCGGAUUGGAGUCUGCAACUCGACUCCAUGAAGCUGGAUUCGCUAGUAAUCGCGCAUCAGCCAUGGCGCGGUGAAUACGUUCCCGGGCCUUGUACACACCGCCCGUCAAGCCAUGGAAGCCGGGAGUGCCUGAAGUGUGCAACCGCAAGGAGCGCCCUAAGGUAAAACUGGUGACUGGGGCUAAGUCGUAACAAGGUAACC